rnacentral:rRNA from 1 species
UACGUAGGGAGCAAGCGUUGUCCGGAAUCAUUGGGCGUAAAGCGCGCGUAGGUGGCUUCGUAAGUCCGUUGUGAAAGUCAAAGGCUCAACCUUUGAAAGCCGAUGGAUACUGUGAAGCUAGAGUACGGAAGAGGCGAGUGGAAUUCCUGGUGUAGCGGUGGAAUGCGCAGAUAUCAGGAGGAACACCAAUAGCGAAGGCAGCUCGCUGGGACGUUACCGACACUGAGGCGCGAAAGCGUGGGGAGCGAACAGG